rnacentral:rRNA from 1 species
UACGUAGGGUGCAAGCGUUGUCCGGAAUUAUUGGGCGUAAAGAGCUCGUAGGCGGUCUGUCGCGUCUGCUGUGAAAACUCGGGGCUUAACCCCGGGCCUGCAGUGGGUACGGGCAGACUGGAGUGCGGUAGGGGAGAUUGGAAUUCCUGGUGUAGCGGUGGAAUGCGUAGAGAUCCGGAAGAACACCAGUGGCGAAGGCGGCCCGCUGGGCAGUGGCUGACGCUGAGGCGCGACAGCGUGGGGAGCAAACAGG